rnacentral:rRNA from 1 species
CCUACGGGUGGCAGCAGUGAGGAAUAUUGGUCAAUGGGCGGGAGCCUGAACCAGCCAAGCCGCGUGAGGGAAGAAGGUACAGCGUAUCGUAAACCUCUUUUGUCAGGGAACAAAGGCGGGGACUAGUCCCAGGAUGAGGGUACCUGAAGAAACAGCAUCGGCUAACUCCGUGCCAGCAGCCGCGGUAAUACGGAGGAUGCGAGCGUUAUCCGGAUUUAUUGGGUUUAAAGGGUGCGCAGGGGGCCUGUUAAGUCAGCGGGAAAAGCCCGGGGCCCAACCCCGGCGAGCCGUUGAAACUGGCGGGCUGGAGUUGGAGAGAAGUACGCGGAAUGCGCGGUGUAGCGGUGAAAUGCUUAGAUAUCGCGCAGAACCCCGAUUGCGAAGGCAGCGUACCGGCUCCACACUGACGCUGAGGCACGAAAGCGUGGGUAUCGAACAGGAUUAGAUACCCUAGUAGUC